UACGUAGGGUGCGAGCGUUGUCCGGAAUUAUUGGGCGUAAAGGGCUCGUAGGCGGUUUGUCGCGUCGGGAGUGAAAACCCAGGGCUUAACCCUGGGCUGGCUUUCGAUACGGGCAGACUAGAGGUAUGCAGGGGAGAACGGAAUUCCUGGUGUAGGCGGUGAAAUGCGCAGAUAUCAGGAGGAACACCGAUGGCGAAGGCAGAUCUCUGGGCCGUAACUGACGCUGAGGAGCGAAAGCAUGGGGAGCGAACAGG
rnacentral:rRNA from 1 species